GACGAACGCUGGCGGCGUGCCUAAUACAUGCAAGUGAAGUUCAGUGGCGGACGGGUGAGUAUUACGUGAGUAACCUGCCCUCAACUGUGGGAUAAGCCUGGGAAACUGGGUCUAAUACUGCAUAGUUGGGGAUGGGCUCGCGGCCUAUCAGCUUGGUGGUGGGGUGAUGGCCUACCAAGGCGGUGACGGGUAGCCGGCCUGAGAGGGUGGUUGGCCACAUUGGGACUGGGAGACGGCCCAGACACCUACGGGAGGCAGCAGUGGGGGAUAUUGCACAAUGGGCGCAAGCCUGAUGCAGCGAAGACGCGUGAGGGAUGAAGGCUUUCGGGUUGUAAACCUCUUUCGGUACAGAACGGGUAUGUGCAGAAGAAGCGCCGGCUAACUACGUGCCAGCAGCCGCGGUAAUAC
rnacentral:rRNA from 1 species